UGAUAUCUGACCAGCCUCUAAGUGCUUCACAGCACCUGUUUCAGCCACCUUGAUGACCUUUGGAACAAAUUGUUCUGAUCCUCCCAUCACAUCAGGAUGAAGAACUUUGGAAACCCUGGGGUUCACAGAGGAAUAUUUCAGCCUGGGAAUAAGAACUGGUUUCUUCUCACACACUGCGCCUGAUUUCUUCUCUCCCUGUUUCCAAGGUGACACAUCACUUAGUGCUGCCUGCUAUUCACCUUUCUUGAAUAUAUAGAAGUACAGGUCUGGAAAUGAAACUGAUCCAGCAUCCUAUGGCUAUAAUUAAAAAAUGUGAUCUUA